UACGUGGGGUGCGAGCGUUGUUCGGAAUUACUGGGCGUAAAGCGUGUGAAGGCGGUCUGCUAAGUCUGGUGUGAAAGCCCUGAGCUUAACUCAGGAACUGCGCCGGAAACUAGUAGACUAGAGUUCGGGAGAGGGUAGUGGAAUUCCUGGUGUAGAGGUGAAAUUCGUAGAUAUCAGGAGGAACACCGGUGGCGAAGGCGGCGACCUGGGCCGACACUGACGCUAAUGCACGAAAGCGUGGGGAGCAAACAGG
rnacentral:rRNA from 1 species